rnacentral:rRNA from 1 species
UACAGACGGUCCAAACGUUAUUCGGAAUUACUGGGCUUAAAGAGUUCGUAGGCGGUCAAGAAAGUGGGGUGUGAAAGCCCUCGGCUCAACCGAGGAACUGCGCUCCAAACUACUUGACUUGAGGAGGCUAGAGGUAAGCGGAACUGAUGGUGGAGCGGUGAAAUGCGUUGAUAUCUGGAGGAAUACCGGUGGCGAAGGCGGCAUCCUGGACCGACAUUGACGCUGAACGGCGAAAGCUAGGGGAGCAAACGGG